UACGUAGGGUGCGAGCGUUACUCGGAAUUACUGGGCGUAAAGCGUGCGCAGGCGGUUUUGUAAGUCUGUCGUGAAAUCCCCGGGCUCAACCUGGGAAUUGCGAUGGAGACUGCAAGGCUAGAAUCUGGCAGAGGGGGGUAGAAUUCCACGUGUAGCAGUGAAAUGCGUAGAUAUCGGGAGGAACACCUGUGGCGAAAGCGGCGCACUGGACCAUAACUGACGCUGAUGCACGAAAGCUAGGGGAGCAAACAGG
rnacentral:rRNA from 1 species